GGAGAGAUGGCAGAGUGGUCUAAUGCGCACGCCUGGAAAGCGUGAGUACUCCAAAAGGGUACCGAGAGUUCGAAUCUCUCUCUCUCCGCCA
rnacentral:tRNA from 1 species